UACGGAGGGUGCGAGCGUUGUCCGGAAUCACUGGGCGUAAAGGGCGCGUAGGCGGCCUGUUAAGUAGGGGGUGAAAUCCUGCGGCUUAACCGCAGGGCUGCCUUCUAAACUGUCAGGCUAGAGCACAGUAGAGGCAGGUGGAAUUCCCGGUGUAGCGGUGAAAUGCGUAGAGAUCGGGAAGAACAUCGGUGGCGAAAGCGCUCUACUGGACCGCAACUGACACUCAGGGACGAAAGCUAGGGGAGCGAAUGGG
rnacentral:rRNA from 1 species